UACGGAGGAUCCGAGCGUUAUCCGGAUUUAUUGGGUUUAAAGGGUGCGUAGGCGGCUCAUUAAGUCAGGGGUGAAAGACGGUAGCUUAACUAUCGCAGUGCCUUUGAUACUGAUGAGCUUGAAUGUAGUUGAGGUAGGCGGAAUGUGACAAGUAGCGGUGAAAUGCAUAGAUAUGUCACGGAACACCAAUUGCGAAGGCAGCUUACUAAAGUAUGAUUGACGCUGAGGCACGAAAGCGUGGGGAUCAAACAGG
rnacentral:rRNA from 1 species